rnacentral:rRNA from 1 species
GACGAACGCUGGCGGCGUGCCUACUACAUGCAAGUCGAACGCAGUGGGGACGGGUGAGUAACACGUGGGUAACCUCCCAUCAGAGGGGAUAACACUUGGAAACAGGUUCUACAUUGGCAUUGUUUGAUUGACCCGCUGUCCACUAGCUAGUUGGAGAGGUAACGGAUGACCAAGGCAACGAUGCAUAGCAGAACUAGUAGGGUGAACGGCCGCACGUGCACUGAGAGACGGCCCAUACUCCUACGGAUGGCAGGAGUAGGGAAUAUUCGGCAAUAGACGAAAGUCUGACCGAGCGACGCCGCGUGAGUGAAGAAGGUUUUCGGGUCGUAGAACUCUGUUGUGAGAGAAGCGGUAUCUAACCAGAAGGCCACGGCUAACUACGUGCCAGCAGCCACGGUAAUAC